AAGAGGAUACUCAUAGAGAACAUCCAGGUCACUGGGUCACUGAAGGAAAAGAGGAUACUCAUAGAGAACAUCCAGGUCACUGGGUCACUGUGGCUGGUACUCACUACAUUCUUCAUUUGACAUUCACAGAGUCCUGUGUCACUCCUUGUGACACUGAGUAGAGCAAGGAUCCUGUUGUCAUUGGACAUCUGCAGCCUGGGACUGACUUUUCUACUGACACACGCUUAAGCUGGAGAUUCUUUCCUCAGCUAUGUGCAGCCUACCAGUGAAAAGCUUGGUGAAGGAUUUUAAGGACUUCCCAUUGACUGAAGGCUGGCAAAUGGAGUUUGCCAUUCUCUGACUGCAGCCAUUCUGAGGACUGGAAAGAAUACCCUGAGAAGUGGCCUAUUUUAUUCCUGCAGGAAGUUGCUCAGAUGGGACGAGCCACCUGUUUGUGCGAGGACCUUGGCUGCUAGGCUGGAAGCCUCAUACGUCUCAGUGCAUCUUCCCCUCCAGAUCCCUGGGUGUCCUGCUGUCCCCUCACAUGGAGAAACCUCAGCACUGGAAGAAAGGACAAGGUCUUUAUUAUUCAGAUACAUGCAGCCACUCCUCCAACGUCCCCUCUCCCAUAGGACAAGUCCAGCUGCUCCAGGCUCUCCCCAGGGUCGCUAUUAGAUUUCUCUCCAGAGCUGGGAUCUCCAUCGUAUAUAAAGCUGCAGGAAUACAGAUGGGAUUGGAUCUGCAGCGCCUAAGACAAAUGCUGGAUAAACAUUUCCAGACUGUAUGAAGCCACUGAGAUUCCUCAGUGUUGGCACAGUUCUCCGCCCUGGGCAGGGAUUACCGCAUACAUCAUCACCCCACCCAGAAAGGCAGACACCGUCAUUCUCACUGCUUCACCCCCAGUUUUCAUAAGGGGAACCUAAGAUCCAGAGAGAAGAAUAGUUGAAUUGAAAAUUGCAGAUGUGGAGGAAACGGAGCAGGAAAUUCAGGGGAAAGAAUCCAGUGGGGUGGAGGGAGCUGCCAGGGACCUGGGACAAGUGUUUGUCUUCUACCUCAGUCCACGCACCUACAUCUAUGAGCAGCAGCGUCUCCUGACACACCUGGCCCGCCUCGCACAUCACGGUAUUAGACACGGUCCAUCC